rnacentral:rRNA from 1 species
AACACAACUAUCAGCAAUGGAUAUCUUGGCUCUCACCAUGAUGAAGAAUGUAGUGAAAUGUGAUACUUAGUGUGAAUUGUAGAAUCCCGUGAAUCAUUGAGUCUUUGAACGUAAGUUGCGCCUGAGGCCUCGGCCGAGGGCAUGUCUGCUUGGGCGUCGCAC